CCCUGAAGCGUGACUUCUCUUUAGUGCUCUGGAAGCACAGGUUCAUAGACAGUGUUGCAGUCUUUGAAUAUCAUAAGCAGAAUUGUGCAUUGCUUCUGCUGCUCACAGCAAAGUUGUUAUUUGGGGUCUGACGUCCUCUCUCUGCGGGUGCUGCUCAGAGGAUCUGAGCUGCUCCCUUCGGGCUGGGUGCUUACGGCACCUCGAGGUGGGAUGGGACCUGCUCUUCUUUCCUUGUGUGACCCCUACAUUGGAGAGAGAACUAUAGUCAUGGUGGAAGAACCCAGAAGGAACUGCUGCAUUUCAGCUGCGGUGACCACAUCUAUGAGGCAGAGAGGCAAAAGAGGAGCAGUUCAGUUCCUUUGCCUCCCACAAUGGCC
rnacentral:lncRNA from 1 species